GGGGCAACUUCCGGUCGUUUGCGUGCGGCACGGGGUGCGAAGUAGUGUGAAGUGUGGAGUGCGCGCAUGCGAACAGAUCAAGCAGGGGGAGCGGCCGCUGGGUGGGUAGGUAACUACCGUCGCUGCCGCCAGCACCCGCGGCGAAGAGCGAGGGCAGAGGAGGAGGUGGUGGUGGCUGAGGGAGUCCAAGGUCGGCCACCCCCUCCAAGCGACUCCCACCCGCGCGAGCCCCGGCCUGCCCUAACCUCUGCUGCCCAGGCCCAGCCCCAAUCCCAAAAGCGCGCGAUGAGGAGGGUCGGUGUUCUGAAGAGAUCAGCUGAGGUUCUAUCUCGACCACUUAACGGCUUUAAUCAUCUCCUAGAAGAGGUCUGCAGCUAAUCGUGUCCCGGAGCUCCACGGAAAUCCUACCGCGUUCCCUAGGUUCGAGAGGAACCCCAACCACCCCUCACCGAUUUACUGAAGAGCUUCUGUCGAUUGUGCAGUCUUCCUUAAGGUCGAGUCUACGCAGAACCAAACGAAAGGGGAGAAAUGGAGUCUUCCGAAAAACUUGCGUACCCACGUUGAAUAUAGUUCGAUCCAGUCAAGUAUCGCAGACGUGGUUGAAGGAAAGGACGUCUUAUACAACUUCUUAAGGUCUUGACAAAACUGGCUCGUGGUGGACAAGGAAUAUCGCUCUAGCUCAGCUAUAACGCACUCCUCAACGUCGCCGGUAACCUAUCACAGAUACUCAUGUAACUAGGGCACGGUUAUCGUAGACGAAGUUAUCGUGUCCAAGUACCCCGAUCUAACUUCUCGAGAGUCUUCCUACACCACUAAUUUCAGGACUUUGGACCUUAACUUCUAUGAAACCAACGGCUAGACUUAAAAUAGAUAGAACAACGUGCACAAAACCUCAAAGAUUCGGGACUUAAUCUCUCCUGUAGUGACCAUCGAUAGUAGUUCCUGUAUUUCCUUAGUUACGAACUCCUUCAACUAAAAUCUUUCCUUCGACAUUUAUACCUCCGAAAGGUCUCUAUGUAGCUUCGUUACCCUAAACUAUCCGUCCGGUUUAGAGGUAAACACAUAGUCGUGACAUCGUGUUUCGCACAGAAUUGAUACCUUUCUAACAUACCACAAGGUGAGUGGCUAGAACUAAGAUAUUCCAGAGAACAAGGACUAGGACUCAACUGAAAUCAGUGACGGGAGUUACAGACCAAACCUUCGAACUAGAGUACACUUAGGAAGGUACGCCUACACGUACGUCCUUUGGAUACCAACGAAGCACUACCUGCACAACCUAAAUAGCUAAAACCUUAACAACCAGCUUAUAGGGGUUCCUGAACCCGACGAUACCUCUAGAAAAACCGAAGAAAGCGUUGACUCCUAAUGUUACGAUACCGUAGCCGGGAAAGGCUUUACCCACGAUGUCCCUUACUAUAUCUACAACUGAGGAAACGUUUCCUGAACGUUUUAUAUAAGAGUAGCGAUGUCCUCAACCUAUGACUUUAAUAUCACCGUCGACGUUCUUCAAGACUACGACGUCGACAUAGACGAUUACAACAACAUCUGCUCUCCGUCUACUUACGUGACAAAGAACUAGACCAUUCCCAAUCGCUCAGUAUACCCGACUUUAAAGGAUCCCUUAAGCGAGAAGAGUACUUCGUUGAAGAAAUAAAACUAGCCAUGUGAUCUGACGACCGAGGGUCGUACUUGUACGACGCUCUACUCUCCUAAUUGUAAUGAAGGUUGUUCGUGUGGUCUUCUUACUUAACUAAGAUAGAAGGUAGUAAACUCCUUAACCACGUUCUGUACCUGUUCACUAUAACUCCUUAAGGUAGACAGGUCACUCCGCCGACCUAGACACAGCAAUCCUCGCCCUCGACGCUCUCCUCGACCUAUACCUAGGCCUUCUCGACCUAGACGUAGACCUAGUGGUGGCGGACGAGACAGUGGUAGUGUUACUGGUACUGUUGCGGAGGGACGGACGUUCUUGUGCCACUCAUGAGGUGCUGGUACAAGAACAUGACGAAUCUCGUAGAGAUCGGCGCGGAAAUUGUACGGCAGGUCCCG
rnacentral:rRNA from 1 species